CAGAUAAGAAUAAAUCAAUGAAAAUUUUCCAUAUAUACAAAAAUAUUUUUUAUGCAUAAAUUGUUUCGUAAAAAGAACAAUGAACCUUUUCAUACAACAUUUACAACUUAUUUAUAAAAUUAUAUUAUAUAUUUAUGAUUUUGAUGUUCGUUAAAGUAAAGUAUGUCCAGCUUGGAUGAAAACUCUUACAAAAAGUCUAAUGUAAUAAGCGAUUCUUAACCUUAAAUUGUUCAAAAUUUCAUGUGACCAUUGAUUGGAUUUUCAUUUACAGCAUUGCAUUUUUUAAUUAAAGCAUAGUAAGCAUGUAAACAGAAGUUGUAUGUCUAGUCAGCAUAUAAACAGUAGAGGUCUAUUUAACCAGCAUGUAAAACGGAAGUGGUAUAUUUAGUCGGUAUGUGAACAGUAGUGGUAUAUUUAACCAGCAUGUAAACAGAAGUGGAAUAUCUAACCAGCAUGUAAACAUAAGUGGUAUAUUUAGUCGGCAUUCGAACAGUAGUGGCAUAUAUAGUCAACAUGUAAACAGUAGUGGUAUAUUUAGCCAGCAUGUAAACAGUAGUGGAAUAUUUAGUCGGCAUGUAAACAGAAGUGGUAUAUUUAGUCGGCAUGUAAACAGAAGUGGCAUAUUUAGUCGGCAUGUAAACAGAAGUGGCAUAUUUAGUCAGCAUGUAAACAGAAGUGGCAUACUUAGUCAGUAUGUAAACAGUAGUGGUAUAUUUAGUCAGCAUAAAACAGUUGUGGUAUAUUUAGUCAGCAUGUAAAGAGCAGUGGUAUAUUUAAUCAGCAUGGAAACAAUAGUGGUAUAUUUAGUAAGCAUGUAAACAAUAGUGGUAUAUUUAGUCAGCAUGUAAACAGUAGUGGUAUAUUUAGUCAGCAUGUAAACAGUAAUGGUAUAUUUAGUCAGAUGUAAACAGUAGUGGUAUAUUUAGUCAGCAUGAAAACAGUAGU